UAGGGAAUCUUCGGCAAUGGACGAAAGUCUGACCGAGCAACGCCGCGUGAGUGAAGAAGGUUUUCGGAUCGUAAAACUCUGUUGUUAGAGAAGAACAAGGACGUUAGUAACUGAACGUCCCCUGACGGUAUCUAACCAGAAAGCCACGGCUAACUACGUGCCAGCAGCCGCGGUAAUACGUAGGUGGCAAGCGUUGUCCGGAUUUAUUGGGCGUAAAGCGAGCGCAGGCGGUUUCUUAAGGCUGAUGUGAAAGCCCCCGGCUCAACCGGGGAGGGUCAUUGGAAACUGGGAGACUUGAGUGCAGAAGAGGAGAGUGGAAUUCCAUGUGUAGCGGUGAAAUGCGUAGAUAUAUGGAGGAACACCAGUGGCGAAGGCGGCUCUCUGGUCUGUAACUGACGCUGAGGCUCGAAAGCGUGGGGAGCAAACAGG
rnacentral:rRNA from 2 species